rnacentral:rRNA from 1 species
UACGGAGGAUCCAAGCGUUAUCCGGAAUCAUUGGGUUUAAAGGGUUCGUAGGCGGUUUUGUAAGUCAGUGGUGAAAGUUUGCAGCUUAACUGUAAAAUUGCCAUUGAUACUGCAAGACUUGAAUGUUUGUGAAGUGGCUAGAAUAUGUAGUGUAGCGGUGAAAUGCUUAGAUAUUACAUGGAAUACCAAUUGCGAAGGCAGGUCACUAACAAAUGAUUGACGCUGAUGGACGAAAGCGUGGGGAGCGAACAGGAUUAGAUA